rnacentral:rRNA from 1 species
UACGUAGGGUGCAAGCGUUGUCCGGAAUUAUUGGGCGUAAAGGGCUCGUAGGCGGUCCAUCGCGUCGGGGAGUGAAAAGCUGGGGCUCAACCCCAAGUCCUGCUUUCGAUACGGGUGGACUAGAGGUAUGCAGGGGGAGAACGGAAUUCCUGGUGUAGCGGUGGAAAUGCGCAGAUAUCAGGAGGAACACCGGUGGCGAAGGCGGUUCUCUGGGCAUUACCUGCGCUGAGGAGCGAAAGCGUGGGGAGCGAACAG